rnacentral:rRNA from 1 species
UACGGGGGGGGCAAGCGUUGUUCGGAAUUACUGGGCGUAAAGGGCUCGUAGGCGGCCAACUAAGUCGGAUGUGAAAUCCCCAGGCUUAACCUGGGAACUGCAUCCGAUACUGGAUGGCUUGAAUCCGGGAGAGGGAUGCAGAAUUCCAGGUGUAGCGGUGAAAUGCGUAGAUAUCUGGAGGAAAACCGGUGGCGAAGGCGGCAUCCUGGACCGGCAUUGACGCUGAUGAGCGAAAGCUAGGGGAGCAAACGGG